CUUGCUGCGGGGAGCUGUAGUUUACUUUCAGUUUCAUCUUUGCAGUGAUCAGCUGAACAGGAUUGAGGGGGCAGAGGUAGGGGACAACAAGUUACCCCAGCCUUUCCCCACCCCCCUCUUCCCCCCACUGCCAUUAAUCAUGCCAGUGCACACUAAACUAAGAAGACACUUAAGGUCCGAAAAGGGGGCGGGGCUAGACGGCACUGUACUACACAGUGCCAUGUUUCCAGCAGCAUGGGAGAAUGGAGGGAAUGUGAUCAGCAGCAUGGCCAAAACAGAGUGACUCUUCUGCUUUCCUGGCAGCUGCUUGGUGUAGCAACUGUAUAUUGAGCGCCUGUUCUUCUUGAGUUACUGGAUCGCCUUUUCUUCCUGAAUCCCACAACUCCUGUUCCCAGCUCAGAGUAACUGGAUCGCCUUUUCUUCCUGAAUCCCACAACUCCUGUUCCCAGCUCAGUGUCUGAAAAAAGCAGCACUCAUCGUCGGCCAGUAACUCCUAUCACAUCUUCUGAUGAUGACGCUGCGAAAGCAGCUUCGAGUACUGGGAACAGCAUCCCUCCGCAACAACAGCAACACAGUGACAUGGAGGAGACAAACAUCUUAGAAAUGCAGCCAUUAAUGCAAGAAAUGAGCCCCCCAGCACCUGUGAGUACACCACCACAGCAAAGCACACCACGACCACAACACAGCCCAACAACACCUGGAACACAAGGCCCUGAUCAGGUGUUUUGGACCAUUUGGGCUAGACAGCAGGCCACUAAUGAAGAUUGCCUAUGUAAGCAGACACAAAUGUUUGCAAGCCUACUAUCUCACCUCAGAAGAAUAUCAAGAAAUCUGAGUAGACAAAAUGAGCAAACAACCAGAAUAGCCAAUACCAUGGAACUCAUGCGUACAGACAUUACAUAGGUCAUGGGCAACUUACAGCGCAUAAUGGAAGAACAGCACAGACAGCAGCAAAGUUACAUGAGCAUUUUUCAAAACAAUCAAAAGAUUAAUGAAAGUUUAUUCAGAAUAGUAGACAAUCAAAAUGCUGCUACACGUGAACUCAAUGCCACCCUCACUAACCUGAAUGAAACACUCAGAUGCAUGCACCAACCGCAAACAAGCAGCAGUUCUGGUACGACUACUCCAAAUGUCACGCCAGUCUCAUCACCACAAAGACGCUCCACCAGAGCACGACAACAUGACAGUGCUAAAGGCAAAGGGCAGGACAAGCAGCCACCAAAAAAAAGUGAAAAAAAAAACAAGUUGGACAUUUGUGAUAAGUAAAUUAAAAAAGUUAGCAAGUGUUUUUGUUGCUAAAAUAAUAUAACACUUAGGUCCUUGACCCUUUUUUCAACAUCAUUAAUUAUAAGUGGCACAAAAUUAAUAUAAAUUUUGGACGAACAUUUAUUCUAAACAAUUUUUAUUUGGUAUUGGAGGCGGGAAAUGUUGAUGGAGCCACACAUACAUGUUAGCAGGAAGUAAACUGACCCCUUGAUUUUUUUCUAAUCAUUACUCUUUCUAGAUUCCAAUCAUUCUCUUUGCCUGCAAAUACAAUAAUUGCCAGCCAGGCAGAAUGUCUUUAGCAGGAAGUAAACUGACCCCUUGAUUUUUUUCUAAUCAUUACUCUUUCUAGAUUCCAAUCAUUCUCUUUGCCUGCAGAUACAAUAAUUGCCAGCCAAGCAUAAUGUCUUUAGCAGGAAGUAAACUGACCCCCUGGAUUUUUUUCUAAUCAUUACUCUUUCUAGAUUCCAAUCAUUCUCUUUGCCUGCAGAUACAAUAAUUGCCAGACAGGCAGAAUGUUUUUAGCAGGAAGUAAACUGACCACUUGAUUUUUUUCUAAUCAUUACUCUUUCUAGAUUCCAAUCAUUCUUUUUGCCUACAGACAAUCCAAAAUACAAUGUUAGUGAUACAUAUCUUAGCUAUCUUAUCUAUACAACAUUACAAGAAGAACACAAUUGAGUUGCGUAAAAAGCUUGUAAUAUGUUGGCUUUGUUUUGUUUGAAAAACAUUGUCCAAAUGAAUGUCAGUAUUGUUGGGACAUGUUUGUGUGUGUUUAAAAUUAAUAAGAAUGUUUUGACACGUGAUGCAGAAACAAACAAAUAUGUAAUUUUUUUUUAAAAACACAAACUGUGUAUAAUAAUGUCUAUGUGUGGCAAACUGUGGAAUUACUU